UACGUAGGGUGCGAGCGUUGUCCGGAAUUAUUGGGCGUAAAGAGCUUGUAGGCGGUCUGUCGCGUCUGCUGUGAAAAUCCGGGGCUCAACCCCGGACUUGCAGUGGGUACGGGCAGACUAGAGUGUGGUAGGGGAGACUGGAAUUCCUGGUGUAGCGGUGAAAUGCGCAGAUAUCAGGAGGAACACCGAUGGCGAAGGCAGGUCUCUGGGCCACUACUGACGCUGAGGCGCGAAAGCCAGGGGAGAAAACGGG
rnacentral:rRNA from 1 species